rnacentral:rRNA from 1 species
GUACACUCCUGCGGGAGGCAGCAGUGGGGAAUUUUGGACAAUGGGCGAAAGCCUGAUCCAGCCAUGCCGCGUGCAGGAUGAAGGCCUUCGGGUUGUAAACUGCUUUUGUACGGAACGAAACGGCCUUUUCUAAUAAAGAGGGCUAAUGACGGUACCGUAAGAAUAAGCACCGGCUAACUACGUGCCAGCAGCCGCGGUAAUACGUAGGGUGCAAGCGUUAAUCGGAAUUACUGGGCGUAAAGCGUGCGCAGGCGGUUAUGUAAGACAGUUGUGAAAUCCCCGGGCUCAACCUGGGAACUGCAUCUGUGACUGCAUAGCUAGAGUACGGUAGAGGGGGAUGGAAUUCCGCGUGUAGCAGUGAAAUGCGUAGAUAUGCGGGGGAACACCGAUGGCGAAGGCAAUCCCCUGGACCUGUACUGACGCUCAUGCACGAAAGCGUGGGGAGCAAACAGGAUUAGAAACCCUAGUAGUCCU